UACGAAGGGUGCAAGCGUUACUCGGAAUCACUGGGCGUAAAGCGUGCGUAGGCGGUUCGUUAAGUCUGCUGUGAAAGCCCUGGGCUCAACCUGGGAACUGCAGUGGAUACUGGCGGACUAGAGUGUGAUAGAGGAUGGUGGAAUUCCCGGUGUAGCGGUGAAAUGCGUAGAGAUCGGGAGGAACACCAGUGGCGAAGGCGGCGAUCUGGGUCGAUACUGACGCUGAGGUGCGAAAGCGUGGGGAGCAAACAGGAUUAGAUACC
rnacentral:rRNA from 1 species